UCUCCCUGACCUGGGCAGAGUGGCACCUGGUUGGUGGUUCCUGUCUCAUAUCAGCCAGGGACAGAACAACUCCUUGUUUAUUCCAGCUUGGCUUUUGGUUUGUGCCCGUGCCUGGUUCAUGUCCUGGACACGUGG